rnacentral:tRNA from 1 species
CAGAUAAUAGUUUACUAAAAUAUUAACAUUGGAAGUUAAAGAUCAAAAUUACUUUUGUUAUCUGA